rnacentral:rRNA from 1 species
AAAUUGAAGAGUUUGAUCAUGGCUCAGAUUGAACGCUGGCGGCAGGCCUAACACAUGCAAGUCGAACGGUAACAGGAAGCAGCUUGCUGCUUCGCUGACGAGUGGCGGACGGGUGAGUAAUGUCUGGGAAACUGCCUGAUGGAGGGGGAUAACUACUGGAAACGGUAGCUAAUACCGCAUAACGUCGCAAGACCAAAGAGGGGGACCUUCGGGCCUCUUGCCAUCGGAUGUGCCCAGAUGGGAUUAGCUUGUUGGCGGGGUAACGGCUCACCAAGGCGACGAUCCCUAGCUGGUCUGAGAGGAUGACCAGCCACACUGGAACUGAGACACGGUCCAGACUCCUACGGGAGGCAGCAGUGGGGAAUAUUGCACAAUGGGCGCAAGCCUGAUGCAGCCAUGCCGCGUGUAUGAAGAAGGCCUUCGGGUUGUAAAGUACUUUCAGCGGGGAGGAAGGGAGUAAAG